GUUACUUGCCUCGUGGUCACUAGAAAAUCGACCCCAUUUCAAGCUGAAGGGCCACCAGUCUGAGCCCAGGGAAGGCGGCUGCUGAGGUUUCAUAUUUUCCCCCCACCGAACUAUUCACCACAGAGCCCAAGUCCAAGAUUUACUAAGCACCUACUAUGUGCCCAGGCCUGUGGAUAUACAGAUGAACAAAGUCCAGCUCCUGCUCACAAAAGGCUUUCUGACUAGCAGUAUGAAUACACCCCACUGAGGAAGAGAGAAGAACAGAGAGCCAAGGAAGGACAGUGGAGUUGCU